rnacentral:rRNA from 1 species
AUUGAACGCUGGCGGCAGGCCUAACACAUGCAAGUCGAGCGGUAGAGAGAAGCUUGCUUCUCUUGAGAGCGGCGGACGGGUGAGUAAUGCCUAGGAAUCUGCCUGAUAGUGGGGGAUAACGUCCGGAAACGGACGCUAAUACCGCAUACGUCCUACGGGAGAAAGUGGGGGCUCUUCGGACCUCACGCUAUCAGAUGAGCCUAGGUCGGAUUAGCUAGUUGGUGGGGUAAAGGCUCACCAAGGCGACGAUCCGUAACUGGUCUGAGAGGAUGAACAGUCACACUGGAACUGAGACACGGUCCAGACUCCUACGGGAGGCAGCAGUGGGGAAUAUUGGACAAUGGGCGAAAGCCUGAUCCAGCCAUGCCGCGUGUGUGAAGAAGGUCUUCGGAUUGUAAAGCACUUUAAGUUGGGAGGAAGGGUCGUUACCUAAUACGUGACGAUUUUGACGUUACCGACAGAAUAAGCACCGGCUAACUCUGUGCCAGCCGCCGCAGUAAAAC